GGGAAUGCCACCACAUGGUAUCCCAGGAACAAUCUCUGCCCAGCAAGCACCUGGAGUGAAAGCCAUGGCAGGGAGCUGGAGGAGCUGCAGGGAGCUGGGAUGCCAUGGGGCCUUGGCCAGGUGUCAGGCAAGCAUCAUAGAAUCAUGGAAUCAUUGGGACUGGAAAGGACUUCCAAGAUCAUUGAAUCCAAGUUGUGACCAAUCCCCACCUUGUCAACUGGGCCAGAGAACUGAGUGCCACUGAGCAGCAGGAACUUCUCCAGACAGAAACAAAGGAGGAGAAGGAAGAAUACCUGGAUGUACUGGCUGGUCUCAGCAAAACCACAUGGGAACUGGAGAAAAGGAAAGAAGUUCCUGGAUCCCUUUAAAAAGAUCUUCCAGAAGAAAAAAAACAGCAGAGACCAUAACGAAGAACUCUUCAGGAGCUGAAAUCCCACUGGACUGUGGUGUCCAGGAAGAGAGUCCAGGGCACUCUGGGUUCCCAAACUGGCUGGGAGAGACAGCUGGGAUGUGUCCCCUGUUGCCCUCCACUGGAUAGCAGGAGAAUGUCACACUGCUGUGUCAUGUCUGGGGACAGCACAUCCCCAAAGCAUCUCCUCUUUCAGCUAGGGUAAUGGGCUGUGCUCUGGGAACACAGCAGCUGAACUCGAGCUCUGUUUUUGCUCUGGCUGUGUCUCAUGUAGCAACAGCUGGGGGACAUAGGUUUGCUCAAACCACAGCCAGACGAUUGGAAAUAAAAACGAUAUUCAUAUAUUAAUUAA